rnacentral:rRNA from 1 species
AGAAUCAACGCUGGCGGCGUGCCUAACACAUGCAAGUCGAACGAGAAAGUGGAGCAAUCCAUGAGUAAAGUGGCGCACGGGUGAGUAACACGUGACUAACCUACCCUUGAGUGGGGAAUAACCUCGGGAAACCGGGCUAAUACCGCAUAACACCUACGGGUCAAAGGAGCAAUUCGCUUAAGGAGGGGUCGCGGCAGAUUAGUUAGUUGGCGGGGUAAUGGCCCACCAAGACGGUGAUCUGUAUCCGGCCUGAGAGGGCGCACGGACACACUGGAACUGAAACACGGUCCAGACUCCUACGGGAGGCAGCAGUGGGGAAUUUUGCGCAAUGGGGGAACCCUGACGCAGCAACGCCGCGUGGAGGAUGAAGUCCCUUGGGACGUAAACUCCUUUCGAUCGGGAUGAUUAUGACGGUACCGGAAGAAGAAGCCCGGCUAACUUCGUGCCAGCAGCCGC